CGUUAAAGCUUAAUUACUUAUUUAUAUUAAUUCCACUAACCAAUCAAAACCCUUAUCCAGUAUUGAAUGAUUCCAUAACCAUAUGGAAAACCGUAUGCUAGAACUAGUAAUAAGAAGAAGACCUUCUCCAAAAUACAAGUGUGAGCCGAAAUGAACAACUCAUCGGCACUUAACGUAAAUGAACCCAAAGUAGUAACAAAACAAGAAAAUUCUACUACACAAUACGUCAACCUUACACUAGAGUAUUACUGGAAAGAUUAAAAGAAAGGGAAGGAACUCGGCAAAUCAUCAACCCCGCCUGUUUACCAAAAACAUCGCCUCUUGACAAAAUAUAAGAGGUCCAGCCUGCCCAGUGACAAAGUUAAACGGCCGCGGUACCCUAACCGUGCGAAGGUAGCGCAAUCACUUGUUCUUUAAAUGAGGACUAGUAUGAAUGGCAUCACGAGGGUUGCACUGUCUCCCCUUUUUAAUCAAUGAAACUGACCCCCCCGUGAAGAGGCGGGGAUAUAACUAUAAGACGAGAAGACCCCAUGGAGCUUUAAACUCAGUAUCAACCGCCUAACAACACAUCAUUACAAUUUGGCAGAUCUGAUUACUAGUUUUCGGUUGGGGUGACCGCGGAGUAAAACAAAACCUCCACGAUGAAAGGACCUAUACUCCUAAUCAUAGAGCCACAGCUCAAAGAAUCAAAAAACUGACAUAAAUUGAUCCAAUUAAUUUGAUCAACGAACCAAGUUACCCUGGGGAUAACAGCGCAAUCCACUUCAAGAGCCCCUAUCGACAAGUGGGUUUACGACCUCGAUGUUGGAUCAGGGUAUCCCAGUGGUGCAGCCGCUACUAAAGGUUCGUUUGUUCAACGAUUAAA
rnacentral:rRNA from 1 species